rnacentral:rRNA from 1 species
AGUUUGAUCCUGGCUCAGGAUGAACGCUAGCUACAGGCUUAACACAUGCAAGUCGAGGGGCAGCAUUGGAGUAGCAAUACUUCAGAUGGCGACCGGCGCACGGGUGAGUAACACGUAUCCAACCUGCCGCUUACUCGGGGAUAGCCUUUCGAAAGAAAGAUUAAUACCCGAUGGUAUAAAGAGUUCGCAUGUUCUCUUUAUUAAAGAAUUUCGGUAAGCGAUGGGGAUGCGUUCCAUUAGAUAGUUGGCGGGGUAACGGCCCACCAAGUCUACGAUGGAUAGGGGUUCUGAGAGGAAGGUCCCCCACAUUGGAACUGAGACACGGUCCAAAUCCUACGGGAGGCAGCAGUGAGGAAUAUUGGUCAAUGGACGAGAGUCUGAACCAGCCAAGUAGCGUGAAGGAUGACUGCCCUAUGGGUUGUAAACUUCUUUUAUAAGGGAAUAAAGUGAGGGACGUGUCCCUUUUUGUAUGUACCUUAUGAAUAAGGAUCGGCUAACUCCGUGCCAGCAGCCGCGGUAAUACGGAGGAUCCAAGCGUUAUCCGGAUUUAUUGGGUUUAAAGGGAGCGUAGGUUGACAUAUAAGUCAGCUGUGAAAGUUUACGGCUCAACCGUGAAAUUGCAGUUGAUACUGUAUGUCUUGAGUGUACAAGAGGUGGGCGGAAUUCGUGGUGUAGCGGUGAAAUGCUUAGAUAUCACGAAGAACUCCAAUUGCGAAGGCAGCUCACUGGGGUACAACUGACACUGAGGCUCGAAAGUGUGGGUAUCAAACAGGAUUAGAUACCCUGGUAGUCCACACAGUAAACGAUGAAUACUCGCUGUUUGCGAUAUACAGUAAGCGGCCAAGCGAAAGCAUUAAGUAUUCCACCUGGGGAGUACGCCGGCAACGGUGAAACUCAAAGGAAUUGACGGGGGCCCGCACAAGCGGAGGAACAUGUGGUUUAAUUCGAUGAUACGCGAGGAACCUUACCCGGGCUUGAAUUGCAGAGGAAUAUAGUUGAAAGAUUAUGGCCGCAAGGUCUCUGUGAAGGUGCUGCAUGGUUGUCGUCAGCUCGUGCCGUGAGGUGUCGGCUUAAGUGCCAUAACGAGCGCAACCCUUAUCAUUAGUUACUAACAGGUCAUGCUGAGGACUCUAGUGAGACUGCCGUCGUAAGAUGUGAGGAAGGNGGA